rnacentral:tRNA from 1 species
UCCUUGAUGGUCUAGUGGUCAUGAUUUCCGCUUGUCAACUUCGCUGAGUAAGCCGAGUAACAAGCGCGGGAGACCGGGGUUCGAUUCCCCGUCAGGGAG